UUCUGAGUUUUCUGAAAUUUUUUCAGAAUUUUUGGGCCUCGUUUUUUGUCCCAGGGCAGAGUAAAAAAUUUAAUUUUGGGUAUUUUGAAUCGAACCGGCAGAAUCGAACUGGACCGGUCUGACCGAUCGAAUCGGACUGGCCUUUUCUUUUUUCCCUCUUCUUUUCCCGCGUUGUGCCUGACCCUCUUUCUUCUCCCUCUCGUUUCUCUCUCCUCUGUCCUUCCUUGGCUGGCCAACCACCUCCCCCUUCACCCCAGCUCAUCGGCGCACCUCCAGCUUGCCGCUCUAGUGGCCGAAAAAUCAAGCUUGAAUCCUUCCCUUCGUGUAACGAGCUGUUUCAUCUUCCCGGUCAAAAUCUAAUCGAUUCAGUUACCAAUCAGAUCGGGUCUUGUCUCAAUUACUUUCUACUCGUUGAGAGCUUUCCGUUGAUACAAAAAACACAAAUUUUUAUCGAGUAUUUUGUCCAAUUUUUGUCUGGAAAGUUUUAGCCAAUUUUGAGUUUUUGACUAAAUUUCUCCCAAACCAG
rnacentral:misc_RNA from 1 species